rnacentral:rRNA from 1 species
CCUACGGGCGGCUGCAGUGAGGAAUAUUGGGCAAUGGGCGAAAGCCUGACCCAGCAACGCCGCGUGGAGGAAGACGGCCUUCGGGUUGUAAACUCCUUUUGACGGGGAAGAGAGAGGACGGUACCCGUCGAAUAAGUCACGGCUAACUACGUGCCAGCAGCCGCGGUAAUACGUAGGUGACAAGCGUUAUCCGGAAUUACUGGGCGUAAAGCGCACGCAGGCGGCAGAUUAAGUCUGACGUGAAAUCUCCUGGCUUAACUGGGAGGGGUCGUUGGAAACUGGUCAGCUUGAGGUGGUGAGAGGGGUGUAGAAUUCCCGGUGUAGUGGUGGAAUGCGUAGAUAUCGGGAGGAAUACCAGUGGCGAAAGCGACACCCUGGCACUAGCCUGACGCUCAUGUGCGAAAGCGUGGGGAGCAAACGGGCUUAGAUACCCCGGUAGUC